CCGUUUCUUGGUUCAUGAGCUUUUGCUAUGGUUUGAGCUUGCCCUCAGAGGGUUGACGGUGUGGGUGGAUGGCAGCGUUCCACUUAAAGUAGGGCAGCAGUUGUCGAGUGGUUAAUUUAAGAGUCAUUGGUCUGACAGAGCAACCCAUGCGUCCUCUCCCAUCUGCGUGGGGGAGAGGAGCCAGCGCUGUAUUUACUGCUUGGAUUGAGUCCACAGAGCAGACCUUAGCAACCAUAUUUGGAGGGGAAGACAGAGUUGAAGCAACUUAACCAGGGUUAAAGUAGGGUCAACCUAUGGAUUCAAGGUUAGCGUAGGCUGGGCACUUGGCCAACAAGCAUAAGUUUGAUUUUCUUCAAAAUAGUAACUCCUAAUGCGAAGAGGAAGAGAGUCAGUGGCGUCUGGCUGAGGGAAGAAGGAGCCUGGCUGCACCGCUGUCUGUGGUCUGUGGCCUAGGCCAGGUACAAUUGACAGCCUCCCCACACGGAGCCACUUCUUCACGACAGGACAUCAAGGUGAGUGGUACUCCCUUGUCAAACCAUCCCUGACACAGAAGACUACACGUGAAGCACCUUCCGGAUGCUAGCCAGUUGGCACAGCGGCCUUCUGGAAGGUUCUAUUGUGCUGAGACGGAGCACAUGAAGAGUCUUCUCACUGGCCUGUGUUUCAGUUUCCUUUGCUGUCCCUGUUAAGCAGUUCCGACAGGUUUGUGCUGGUCUAUUACGAGAGAAACUCAGGCAGAUUUUGAAGCAGCCGGUAACAUCAUCUCUACAAUCAGGAGGUAGAGAGGGAUGAACAGUCCAGGGUCCCAGCCAGGGAAUAACGCUGCCCACAGUGGGCAAGUCUUUCUAUCUCAGUUAAUGUAGUCAAGGUUAUCCCCGACAGGCACGAUCACAGGCCCGGCUCUCUGUCGGUUGUAGAUUCUGUUCAGGACACAACCAACAUGAACCAUCACACACACUGGCAUGAUCAUUGACUUGGGAUUCUUCAAGCAGCCUUUUAGACUCUUUCUGAAACAUUUUCAAAGCAUCACGUAAGUAUUAACUGAAAUGGUUCUUCAAUGGUCCCUGUUACCCUCGGCCUCUUCCCUUCCCUUCUGUAGCCAAUGCUGAGGAAUGCGCAGAGAAAUCUCUAGUCUCCACCACAGGAAGGUAAGAGCUAGCAGCAGGGAAGACAGAGGGAUCCCCCAAAGCAUUCAUGUUUUUGCAAGUAUAACAAAUAUAGUGAAAAAUCCUCUCUUGUACGCAGUUAAAAUUUGGCAGAGCACAAACCAGGACCUGGCAAGACCUGGCAGGACCAGCAAGGCUGGGCUUCCCCGGGCUCAAUGGCUAACCAGAAAGCUAAACUGGUCUCCCCUUCGGAAACCCCCUAUUCUACCCUCCCCACCUCUAUUAGGGUGCUCCCCCACCCACCCACUCCUGCCCUCCCGCCCUGGCAUUCCCCAUAGCUGUUUUCUAAGGAGCCUCAUCUUCCUGGCUGCCGAAACAGCAUCACCCUGCACAAUACCUCUUCAGUCACAAUGCAGCACACAAUUAAACGGCAUUGAUGCCACACAGCAGCAAUACGUGCCACUUAAAACAAGCCACUCUGAGCAAAUGACUACUUUGAAUGCAGCGGACAGAAGAGUAUUCCUGAGCACCCCAUUCACCCAGAAGCAGCAUGCCAAACAUGCCCUGCAGACCAGCCAUGCCCUGAGCAGACCUUGCCCUCCUCGGCAGUCUGCACGGCCUUGGCUGCUCCUGCUGCAGCCAUCAUACCUGCUCUGACAGCUGGCUCCCUCUCCAUGAGUUCUGCAUUCACAGAUUCAGCCAAGCAUGGUGUGAAAGGCAUAGCUAUCUGUGCUGCAAACACACAGGUUUUUGCCACCCUGGGAAGUCAUGUGUGUGUGGUUUGAUACUUGUGUGCACAUGUGUGGAUGCAUAAGGGUGGAGGCCAGGGGUAGAUGUGAGGUGCCUCCCUCCAUGAUUCCCACCUUACUUUCUGAGACAAGGUGUCUCAGGGAAUCUGGAGCUCGUCUGUUUGCGAAGUUUGGCUGGCCACUGAGCUUCAGGACCCUUCCUGUCCUACCCGUGUGGUUCCACACCAGCACUGUGCCGCAGACUUGUGCCUGGCCCUGACAUUGGUGCCGCAAUCUGAACUCAGACUCUCAUGCUUUCACGUCAGGUACCAUACCAACCCAACCGCCUUCCUAAACCAUGUCAUUGUGUCUCACACCUGCAUGAUUCACAUUCACACCAUGUGAGGUGUUCUAAGCUGCCCAGAACUGGCUUGCAGGGCUCAGGACAGGAAAAGCUUGGGUGCAGCCUCCAGUUUUAUCCCCCCAGGUCUCACAACUAACUCCUUGUAAAAAGAGGGACAACUGUCCUCUCACAUCUGUCCCUUGCUUGGGAUCUUCUCAGAGUGCUUGGUGUAGCCAUGGUCCUGUGCAUCUGUACUUGGGGAGUUCAGAAGCACCCAAGUCCUAGAUUCCUCUUCAUCUGCAUCCCUGUUUUCAUUUGCCCCUUGGUUGCCAGGAGAGUACAUGUGGCCCCUGACACUACACAAACUCACCUCUCCACCCAAUUAGCUCUGACCACUGCCAGCUCUUAGACUGGAAGUCUUGGGUCAUUUUUGAGGUUUUUCUUUUUCUCUGGUGUUAAGAAUGCCACAGGACUGUUAUAAUGCUACAAAAAUUUUACAUCUCCUUUAGUCUUUUAAAAUUAUUUCAUAAUAGAAACAGUCAUUAAGUCUUCCAACCAAAAAAAAAAAA